rnacentral:rRNA from 1 species
UCAAAGAUUAAGCCAUGCAAGUGAAAGUACAUGCAUAUGUUUAUAUGCAGAGACUGCGAACGGCUCAUUAAAACAGUUAUAAUCUACUUGACAUUUUUUCUAUAAGGAUAACUACGGAAAAGCUGUAGCUAAUACUUGCUUUAAUGCUCCCGACGUGUUACGUCUUGUGAGCAUGUACUUGUUAGGCCUUUAUAAGAAAAAAGUUAAUAACUUAAGGAAUGAUAACAAAGAAGUGACACAUAAAAAGGACUCGUCCCAUUUUCUAGUGUGUAUCAAUCGAGUUUCUGACCUAUCAGCUUUUGAUGUUAGGGUAUUGGCCUAACAUGGCUAUGACGGGUAACGGGGAAUUAGAGUUCGAUUCCGGAGAGGGAGCCUGAGAAAUAGCUACCACAUCUAAGGAAGGCAGCAGGCGCGUAAAUUACCCAAUUCUAAAGAAGAGAGGUAGUGACAAGAAAUAACAAUACAAGACCAAAACUGGUUUUGUAAUUGGAAUGAUGGGAAUUUAAAUCCUUCCCAUAAUACAAUUGGAGGGCAAGUCUGGUGCCAGCAGCCGCGGUAAUUCCAGCUCCAAUAGCGUAUAUUAAAAUUGUUGCAGUUAAAACGCUCGUAGUUGAAUUUCAAAGAACCGAUAUUUUAGUAAUGCUGUUAGCUAGAGCCACAAAAAGUCAAGCCACUAUGGUUUCGGUUUUAUGUGCGCAUCUCUACCUAUCAAGUGUUUUUUUAAUUAAAGUGUUUCUUUUUAAAAUCUUCUUUAGCUUAAAACAUAUGGAAGAUUUUGUUACUUUGAGUAAAUUAAAGUGUUCAAAGCAAACAGAUAUAGCAUAAUGCGUUUUGAAUACUACAGCAUGGAAUAACAAAAUUGAACAAGUCAAAACUAUGUUUCUUUUUUUUUAUUUUUGGCUCAGUUACGAUUAAUAGGAGUAGUUUGGGGACAUUUGUAUUCAGAUGUCAGAGGUGAAAUUCUUAGAUUUUCUGGAGACAAACAACUGCGAAGGCAUUUGUCUAAAAUACUUCCAUUAAUCAAGAACGAAAGUUAAGGGAGUGAAGACGAUCAGAUACCGUCGUAAUCUUAACCAUAAACUAUACCGACUAGGUUUUGGAUGAAAGUAAAACAAAUAAGGAUAGUCUCUUCGGGGAUAGUCCUUAGAUUUCUUCCUUCAGUACCCUAUGAGAAAUCAAAGUCUUUGGGUUCUGGGGCGAGUAUUCGCGCAAGCGAGAAAGUUAAAAGAAUUGACGGAAGGGCACCACCAGGCGUGGAGCUUGCGGCUUAAUUUGACUCAACACGGGAAAACUCACUAGUUUAAGACAAGAGUAGGAUUGACAGAUUGAGAGCUCUUUCUUGAUUUCUUGGAUGGUGAUGCAUGGCCGUUUUUAGUUCGUGAAUAUGAUUUGUCUGGUUAAUUCCGAUAACGAACGAGAUCUUAACCUGCUAAUUAGCGGCAAAUACGAUAUAUUCUUACGUGGAAUUGCAUACUUAUGGUUUGUCUCUAUUGAGCUGCAUAAUAAUGAAGGAUCGUGAUUGCUUUUCGUGUCAAUCUUUCUUAAUCGAAUCGUUGAUGUGUUUUGUAUUUCUCGUUCUUUCAUUACCUUGCAAUCACUCAUUUGCCUUAUCAUACUGUUUCUCUUUUGCGUAAGAAUGUAUUUGCUUGAUUGUAAAGCUUCUUAGAGGAACGAUGUGUGUCUAACACAAGGGAGUUUAAGGCAACAACAGG